UACGGAGGGGGCUAGCGUUGUUCGGAAUUACUGGGCGUAAAGCGCACGUAGGCGGAUAUUUAAGUCAGGGGUGAAAUCCCGGGGCUCAACCCCGGAACUGCCUUUGAUACUGAUAGUCUCGAGUCCGGAAGAGGUGAGUGGAAUUCCGAGUGUAGAGGUGAAAUUCGUAGAUAUUCGGAGGAACACCAGUGGCGAAGGCGGCUCACUGGUCCGGUACUGACGCUGAGGUGCGAAAGCGUGGGGAGCAAACAGG
rnacentral:rRNA from 1 species